CAGAACAGCCCUUCCAUCCCCAUAGCCCUGCACUGCACAGCCACGUCCAGCUUGGAGCCAUUGCCUAGAGCUGUGCACCGGAGCCACCUCCAGCCUCUGAGCCAGCAUCCCGGCACCUUCCUGCACCCACAUCCCCCCUCCUCAGGCUCCACCACAGGGUACAGCCAGAAAGGUCCCAGUCCCAACACCCUAUGGUACCCCAUUGGGUAACCCACCAGGUUAUGCUCAGAGGGUUUUCUGCAAUGGAUUUUUGACAUGCAGCUGCCCCCAUUAUGCAGGCCCAGUGAGACCUUCCCAGCCUGCUCAGCUCAACAUCUGUGAAAUCAGGAACCCCAAGAAAGCCAUUAGACAGAUAUUUUGGAUCAAUGAGAACCAGAAGGACCUCUGCUCCUCCAGCCAAGCGAGGACUCUUUUAACUGCGCACACGGAAAACGCAUCCCACGAGCAGAUCCCCUCCUCUCACAGGUGAGAUUAGGAGGUCGUAUUUCAUGAGUGCUUGUGGAUCUCCUUUCUGAAGCCCUAAUGAACUAUGGAUGAGUGACCACGGUAAUCCAGUCUGUGCAGGAGCUCAUUAAAGUCACCAAGUCUGCUAUAAUAACUAGUUGCAUCUGAUCAGAUUACUUCUUUAAGAUGCUGUUUCCACUGGUGAACAAGAGCCUGCUCUUAUCCUAGUGUGGGCAGCAGGAGCCUUGCUCUGGGCUCUGUGAGUGGGGAGCUGGCUCUUGCCUCGUGCACCAUUAACAAGCUACAAUAUGAUGAACUCACAGUGCAGAAAGGCCAUGGGAUUUCCCAUUGCUGCUUUGCUCGGCCAAGUCCAGCCAGAGCAGGAGCCUCAUAUCCCGCUGGAGGAAAGCAAUGGGCACUAAGGAAUGGUCCA